CGCAGGUUACCAAGUACGAUGGAUCCGGUGAAGGUUCUCAUUUGUGGAAGCAUAGCCACAGCUGAAGACUUCGAGAACGAUGACCUCUUCGUACACUACUUCUUUCACCUGGAAAACGGUUGGACUUCGUCGUGCCCGCUGUUCGGCGUGACGCAGUGUUCCCGAACCAAGUCCAAAGGACGCGCGGAGGUGGCGCACUUUUCGCACCCGUUCGAGCUCGAGUUGGAGAACACAGCGGG
rnacentral:lncRNA from 1 species